rnacentral:lncRNA from 1 species
CGUCGUUUUUCUGAUGCCCCUUUUUCCGGGUUCUUCUUAGGCAUGGGCCAUGCUGGAAACUUGAAGGAAUGGAAAUCUUUGUUGAGGAAUGGAGGCUGGUUCUUCAUAGUAUAACUUGAGGUAUCGGAGUACAUCGCAUAUGAACUCAUAGUUCCUUACACUCAUCUUAUGGAACUAAGGCUUUGAAGGGCUUCACGUUCUGAUCUUGUAGGACCUGUGGAUUUGUCUUGAAUCCUCCUUUUGGUGGGCAAGCCUGCGAGAUCUGUUGAUGUAGGUCUGCCCCUUGGGU